GCGGGUGUAGUACAAUGGCAGUAUGACUGCUUCCCAAGCAGUAGACGUGGGUUCGAUUCCCAUCACCCGCU
rnacentral:tRNA from 1 species